rnacentral:tRNA from 1 species
GGCCCCGUAGUCUAAAGGUCAGGACGCCGGCCUUUCAAGCCGGAGAUGUCGGGUUCGAGUCCCACCGGGGUCACCA